GCGCCUGUAGCUCAGCGGAUAGAGCGUCUGCCUCCGGAGCAGAAGGUCGUGGGUUCGAGUCCCGCCAGGCGCGCCA
rnacentral:tRNA from 1 species